CCCUUAGAUGUUCUGGGCCGCACGCGCGCUACACUGACGGAUUCAACGAGCUUACAACCUUGGCCGAAAGGUCUGGGUAAUCUCCAAAAUCCGUCGUGAUGGGGAUAGAUUAUUGCAAUUAUUAAUCUUCAACGAGGAAUGCCUAGUAAGCGCAAGUCAUCAGCUUGCGUUGAUUAUGUCCCUGCCCUUUGUACACACCGCCCGUCGCUCCUACCGAUUGAAUGGUCCGGUGAAGCGUUUGGACUAUGGUUUUCUGAUGGUCCGCCGUUGGAUUACCGUGGGAAGUUCGUUAAACCUUAUCAUUUAGAGGAAGGAGAAGUCGUAACA
rnacentral:rRNA from 1 species